UACGAAGGGUGCAAGCGUUAAUCGGAAUUACUGGGCGUAAAGCGUGCGUAGGCGGUKMKUUAAGUCUGYYGUGAAAUCCCCGGGCUCAACCUGGGAAUGGCRRUGGAUACUGGMKMGCUAGAGUGUGAUAGAGGAUGGUGGAAUUCCCGGUGUAGCGGUGAAAUGCGUAGAGAUCGGGAGGAACAUCAGUGGCGAAGGCGGCCAUCUGGAUCAACACUGACGCUGAGGCACGAAAGCGUGGGGAGCAAACAGGAUUAGAUACCCUGGUAGUCCACGCCCUAAACGAUGCGAACUGGAUGUUGGUCUCAACUCGGAGAUCAGUGUCGAAGCUAACGCGUUAAGUUCGCCGCCUGGGGAGUACGGUCGCAAGACUGAAACUCAAAG
rnacentral:rRNA from 1 species